rnacentral:misc_RNA from 1 species
GCAAACUUGGUCAUUUAGAGGAAGUAAAAGUCGUAACAAGGUUUCCGUAGGUGAACCUGCGGAAGGAUCAUUACCGAGUUACGGGUACUUCUUGUACCCAACUCUCACCACUUGUCUACCUUUAACUGUUGCUUUGACGAACCCGGUACUCGUACCCCUCGGACAUCACGUCUGGGCAGUGUUCGUCAAGGAAUUUUCAAACCAGUUUUAAUUUGAAAUCUGAGAAAUCAUAAAUAAAAACAAAACUUUCAACAACGGAUCUCUUGGUUCUGGCAUCGAUGAAGAACGCAGC